CGCGAAGUAGAGCAGCGGUAGCUCGUCGGGCUCAUAACCCGAAGGUCGGAGGUUCGAACCCUUCCUUCGCAA
rnacentral:tRNA from 2 species